rnacentral:tRNA from 1 species
AAGCUCUGUGGUGUAGCGGCACACUAGAUUGCAAACCUAAUAGAGCAGGCUAACGCCUGCCGGAGCUUA